UACGGAGGGUGCAAGCGUUGCUCGGAAUUACUGGGCGUAAAGCGUGCGCAGGCGGUGAUGUAAGACAGUUGUGAAAUCCCCGGGCUCAACCUGGGAACUGCAUCUGUGACUGCAUCGCUGGAGUGCGGCAGAGGGGGAUGGAAUUCCGCGUGUAGCAGUGAAAUGCGUAGAUAUGCGGAGGAACACCGAUGGCGAAGGCAAUCCCCUGGGCCUGCACUGACGCUCAUGCACGAAAGCGUGGGGAGCAAACAGG
rnacentral:rRNA from 1 species